rnacentral:rRNA from 1 species
CAUAAAAGGUGGCUUCGGCUACCACUUACAGAUGGACCCGCGGCGCAUUAUCUAGUUGGUGAGGUAACGGCUCACCAAGGCAACGAUGCGUAGCCGACCUGAGAGGGUGAUCGGCCACACUGGGACUGAGACACGGCCCAGACUCCUACGGGAGGCAGCAGUAGGGAAUCUUCCGCAAUGGACGAAAGUCUGACGGAGCAACGCCGCGUGAGUGAUGAAGGUUUUCGGAUCGUAAAGCUCUGUUGUUAGGGAAGAACAAGUGCCGUUCAAAUAGGGCGGCACCUUGACGGUACCUAACCACAAAGCCACGGCUAACUACGUGCCAGCAGCCGCGGUAAUACGUAGGUGGCAAGCGUUGUCCGGAAUUAUUGGGCGUAAAGGGCUCGCAGGCGGUUUCUUAAGUCUGAUGUGAAAGCCCCCGGCUCAACCGGGGAGGGUCAUUGGAAACUGGGGAACUUGAGUGCAGAAGAGGAGAGUGGAAUUCCACGUGUAGCGGUGAAAUGCGUAGAGAUGUGGAGGAACACCAGUGGCGAAGGCGACUCUCUGGUCUGUAACUGACGCUGAGGAGCGAAAGCGUGGGGAGCGAACAGGAUUAGAUACCCUGGUAGUCCACGCCGUAAACGAUGAGUGCUAAGUGUUAGGGGGUUUCCGCCCCUUAGUGCUGCAGCUAACGCAUUAAGCACUCCGCCUGGGGAGUACGGUCGCAAGACUGAAACUCAAAGGAAUUGACGGGGGCCCGCACAAGCGGUGGAGCAUGUGGUUUAAUUCGAAGCAACGCGAAGAACCUUACCAGGUCUUGACAUCCUCUGACAAUCCUAGAGAUAGGACGUCCCCUUCGGGGGCAGAGUGACAGGUGGUGCAUGGUUGUCGUCAGCUCGUGUCGUGAGAUGUUGGGUUAAGUCCCGCAACGAGCGCAACCCUUGAUCUUAGUUGCCAGCAUUCAGUUGGGCACUCUAAGGUGACUGCCGGUGACAAACGCGGAGGAGAGGUGGGGAUGACGUCAAAUCAUCAUGCCCCUUAUGACCUGGGCUACACACGUGCUACAAUGGGCAGAACAAAGGGCAGCGA